CCCUUAGAUGUCCUGGGCCGCACGCGUGCUACACUGACGCAUACAGCGAGCACUUUCCAGUUCCGAGAGGCUACUGGUAAUCAUCAAUAUGCGUCGUGAUGGGGAUAGAUCUUUGGAAUUCUGGAUCUUGGACGAGGAAUGCCUAGUAAUCGCAGGUCAUUAGCCUGCGAUGAUUAAGUCCCUGCCCUUUGUACACACCGCCCGUCGCUACUACCGAUUUCGAGUGGUCAGGUGAAUCUUUCGGACUGUGGGCGCCCUUGAGGUGUUCGCGGAAAGUCAGGUAAAUCUUAUCACUUAGAGGAAGUAAAANUCGUANCA
rnacentral:rRNA from 1 species